AUUGAACGCUGGCGGCAGGCCUAACACAUGCAAGUCGAGCGGAUGAAGGGAGCUUGCUCCUGGAUCCAGCGGCGGACGGGUGAGUAAUGCCUAGGAAUCUGCCUGGUAGUGGGGGAUAACGUCCGGAAACGGGCGCUAAUACCGCAUACGUCCUGAGGGAGAAAGUGGGGGAUCUUUGGACCUCACGCUAUCAGAUGAGCCUAGGUCGGAUUAGCUAGUUGGUGGGGUAAAGGCCUACCAAGGCGACGAUCCGUAACUGGUCUGAGAGGAUGAUCAGUCGCACUGGAACUGAGACACGGUCCAGACUCCUACGGGAAGCAGCAGUGGGGAAUAGUGGGCAAGGGGCGGAAGCCUGAUCCAGCCAUGCCGCGUGUGUGAAGAAGGUCUUCGGGUUGUAAAGCACUUUAAGUUGGGAGGAAGGGCAGUAAGUUAAUACCGUGCUGUUUUGACGUUACCAACAGAAUGAGCACCGGCUAACUUCGUG
rnacentral:rRNA from 1 species